rnacentral:ribozyme from 1 species
CUGCCCGUGGCCGACCUGCAAUGGACAGACCCUUUGUAUUGGGCUGCCAAGGAAGGCCACCUGUCCGUGUUCGAGCUGCUGAAG